CCCAAAGUGCUGGGACUCCAGGCGUGGGCCACCACACCUGGCCUGAAGUCCCAUUUCUUAGAAAGACUGUGAUUUCACAUAUAAACAACUCAGAACUUCAAUAUUGAAUGUGAUGCAUUUGUAUCUUGAGAUAUUUGCCCCAAAAACAGAAAAAAAGGAAUAAUUCAUUAAAACAAGAUGACCUCAGAUAAAUGAGUGGUUUUCAAAUGGGCGUGAUUUUGCUCCCAGGGGACCUUUGACAAUGUCUGGAAAUAGUUUUUGUUGCCACAGCUAGCAUGAGGGAGUCCUACUUGUAUCUAGAGGACUGAGUCCAGGAUACUGCUAACCAUCCUGCCCAGAACAGUGCCUGCAACAGAGUUGUCCACCUCAGUGUGACAAUAGCACUGAGAUUGAUGUGCCCUGGGAUAGACAAGUCUCUGGACAGUUUGGGCAAAUGUGAAGGGAGGCAUGGUGCAGGGCCACAGGUUUUUUUGCCACGUGAUGCAAAAGAGCAUAAGAGCUGGGAGGCCCUUAUGCAUGUUGAUCUUCAAUUUCCUCAUUUGUGAAAUGAAGCUUUUUGAUAGACCUCAAAGUUUUCAUGUUAUGUGAGCCUAUUCACCCUUAAGCUGCUUUAACAUUUGACUGAAGGUGAAAGUCUCUACUGUUCUGGAAGAACCUUCUGUUUCAGUAACCCACCUCCUCUUUUUAGUAUAAGGCUAAUAAACACCAGUAUAAAGGAGGAAUUGUUCACUAAGUUAAUACAAAUACAAAGUUAGCAGAAUGGGAGGAAGAAAGGUAAGUUACUCAUCUUUAAAUAUAAAGAUUAGUUUUUGGACACUGCUCAUCUGAAGACAGUUGCAUAUAUUUACAAAAUUCAAGCAGUCACAGUCCCUUCUAGAAAAUGGGAAGCCGGGAAAUACGGUUCCAAAAUCUCUUUGCUUUACCAGAAUGAAAAUAAUUUAACAAAGUAAAAGUAUUUGAACACAACUAUUAUUACAUUAAGGAGUCACUGAUGGUUUUCUUAUCUUUGCUGGUGUUAGCUUGACUUUUUACUAUUUCCAAAAGUUAUAUAUUUGUGACUCAAAAGCAAGCAUUUCCCUAGGUGUAUAUGUUGUAAGAAGAUUUUUGUUAAUUAGAACAUGAAAAUAUUAUCUACUUUUAUAGCAUGUCAGAGAAAUCUUAUGUGAGAAGGUGGAAUUUCUUAUAUUAUCUGUCUCUUUUUUUUCAAUAAUUUGACAAAUUUCCACCAAUCUUAUUUACCACUGCAUAUUAUCUAUAUAAUGACCAUUUAAGAAUUUUCUAUCUUCAAAUAUAUUUGCAAUAUUCUUGCUAUUAGCAAUAAUGACAAUAUUAUAGAGCAUAAAAACGAGCACAGAAGUAUUAUGGUGUUAUUAGUACUAUAGCAUUAGGGUGAGGGUGCUUGCUUUAGAGAUAGAAUUAAAAUAAAAUGUAACUCACAUUAUAUUCUUUAAUUGCUCUACUAAAGAAUUUGUCAUUUAUGGGCCAUUUAUUUUGUGUAGACAUGAAAAGAAUGUGGUUACACCUAGCUAGAAAAUGUAUAACCUUUCAUAUGGGCAGGGCAUGUUUCUCUUUCUCAUCCUGGUACCUGAGUUUGAGUGUAUGAUUAACUCAGUGCAAGUAAGGAGCUAAAUAAAAGAGAUCUGGAACUGAAAUUCAAUUCAACAAAAAUUUAUUAUACACUUAGCUGGUGCAGGGCCGAGCAACAGCAAUAGAAGAUGCAAAAAUGACAAAGAUAAUGUGGUCCUAGCACAUUUAGGGAUGGAUUGCACUAGAUUGCCCUAGAGAAUAGAGGCACAGGGAACUGAUACAAGGCUAAUAGAAAAGCAUGUGCAAGGCAAGUCUAAGAGCAGCAGCAUUUGAAAGAGAGUAACAGACUAAGAGGGAUGGGAAAGACAUAAUGGGAGGUAGACUCCACAGGGCUUCAGAUGGAUUGCAUGUGUGAUUGAGGCAAGGAAGAGGAAGAGAAAGAACAUUUAAUGACCUCCUUCAGUGCCAGACUAUACUAGGUGCUUUGUAUAGGCUGUAUUAUUUUAAACACCUGAGAGACAGCUGUGAUUGUCCCUUUUCUCCAAUGUUGUAUAAUUUGUAGAAAGUUCUCAGAGCUGGGAUUCAAGUGCAAAGUUUCAUUCACUCAUUAAUUCAUAUAGUCAAUAUUUAUUGAAUGUCCACGCUCUGCCAGGCAUCCUGGAAGAUACCAGGGACACAAAAGUGAACACUAGAAACAAGGGUUCUAUUGGGUUCUCAAGGAACCCUUAGUCUAGUAAGGGAGGUAGAUAUUUAUCUAAAUACCCAAAUGGGAUAGUUUUAAAACAUAUCAAAAAAUUUCCAUAAGAGGUAGAGCCUAAUUUCUCUCCCAUUUAGUGUGGGUUGGACUUAAAGACAUAUUUUUAACAAAUAGAGUCAAGCAGCAGUGACAACAUCUGACUUCUAAGUCUAGGUCAUGAAAGACAUUGGAGCUUCCUUCCCACCUGCUGUCUCUUGGAUCACUUGCCCUGGGGUGAGCCAGCUGCCACGGAGAAGCCCACAGAGGAAGAGCGGAACAGUUCUCAAUGGCAAAUGGAAGUUGCAGUGAAGCAGCACCCAGAGCCAGUGUCAGGCUCCCGAGAGAGCGCUGCACCGCUGCAUGUGGUUUCUGGUGCUCUACAUGUUCGGAGAAACUUAUCUGGUAGUGAGCUAUAGAAACAAUCCCUGCAAGCGUCGUCUUUAUAAGGUCAUUUUAAUGACUAUUUUUCUCCUCAGGAAAUAGGCAGUACUGAAGACAGAGAGAUAAAAGGGGCGGUGCUGACACACGUAGAUGACUGGGGCUCUGACAAUGACCGUGAGCUGAUGACCUGAGUCACACAAACUGGAAAACAAAGUUUUUCCCUAAGGAGUUGGACUUUUAAAAACUUUUUAUUGGCUGCUUUUGGAUUAAGGUGUUUAGGACCAGCAUUAUGAGCAGAAGGACUCAGUGUGUAUGAAGAAGAAACCAAGUUUUUCUACAGCAGAAGAGGAGGAAUUUGCCUUUGCAAAAUGUUAUACUGUUUUAUCUGUCGCUGAACGUGUCUGGGCAGUGGCUGUUCUCCCAGGUCUGAGUCCUGAAAAGGGAAAGAGAAAGAGAUUGUAGGACACGGUGAAAUGAUACACGAAACAGCGUUUCCCCAGCUUCUUAUUUGCCUGUACAUUUCUCAUAAAUGGAGUAAAUGCUGAACAAGCUGACUUUCUCCCAUCAUUCCUGUAAAUAAGGAUAUGACUCACAGACCUUGCAAUCUCUAAAAUGCCAUAGCUACUACAGUGAUUUGAUUAUUUAAAAAUAGCUGGGGAAAAAAACAGCAAGAAAUUGGUCCUGGGUAAGUUAGGAUGAAUUCUUUUCUGUUUGUUUUUGUUUAUCAUUUAAAUUGUUAUUGUAUCUCACCCUAAGUAUUCUGACAACAUCUAGUUUGCCAAACAAAUCUUAGGGAUUUAUGAGUUCUGGAAACUAACAAUAUGAACGUGCUGGUCAGAUCUCAGAUCCCAGGCAAAUAAACCCAAAAAACAAAAAACAAAAGACAACAAGACACAAGGUUCACCAUGGAGUCACUGUGAUCUGCGGGCAACUAUGGAUUUGGUUAUAUGAUCUCCUUUUCUAUAAAGUGGAGAGAGAUAAGUGUUGACAUCACUUAAAUACGCUGAGCCCCACCCCCAAAUAACACAAAUGCUGGUAACAACAAUAAUUUAUAUUAAGCCUACUGAACGGCUUUUGUUGAUCUUUAACUAGCCUAUCUAGAAAUGGGAAACGAGUGACCUCUAUUAUUACUCAAGUACUAAAACUCCCCAAGUAGGACUGUUUGUCAAAACUAGGAGUGAGUUUGAGAUUCAGGAUUAAGGUUCAAGUAGGGAAUCUCCAUUUACCCUGCAUCUCAGUCUUACACUGUAUUAUCAGGGUCUUGGGAGGAAAGAGAAGCACACUUAAGAAGGCAUGAUAAAAAGAGAAAGUAAUGAAGGGAUUAUUAUAAAGUUAGAGGAAGAGUUAAGGGAAAUAAGAAGGGUUGAUGAGGUCCUUGGGGUGGCUGCUUCAGGGAAGUCUUCUCUAGGCUUUCAAGGGCAAGCAAAGGACCACUGACAUUCCUCACAAACUUGCACUUUGGUGAGGGAGCCGGGCCACAGCUGACCUAGGGCUUAGCAGAAAAUCUCUCUCUCCUUCUGUCCUUCCAUCCUCUCCUGGUGGCUGCCACUGGCCAAGCCCAACUACAAACGACAGAACAAGGGAGCUUGGUUGCUGGGGUCCAUCAUACAGCCAGUCUUUCAGGGUGCAGAGCAGGGUGAAUGGGUGAAGAGUGGAUCUGCAGGGGAACAUGGAUAGUGUCGGGCACAGACCACUGACAAACGAAAGAGAUGGAAAUGCUUCAGAAAAGAAAGCAGGAUGGCCAGGUCGGUGGUUUUUUUUUUUGUGUGUGUGUGGAGAUGGAGUCUUGCUCUGUCACCCAGGCUUGAAUGCAAUGGCGCAGUGUUGGCUCACUGCAACCUCCGCCUCCUGGGUUCAAGCAAUUCUCCUGCCUCAGCCUCUCUAGUAGCUGGGAUUACAGGCGUGCACCAUCACGCCCAGCUAAUUUUUUGUAUUUUUUUCUAGCAGAGACAGGGUUUCACCAUGUUGGCCAGGCUGGUCUUGAACUCCUGACCUCAGAUGAUCCACCCGCCUCAGCCUCCCAAAGUGCUGGGAUUACAGGCGUGAGCCACCUCACCCGGCCAGGCCUGUGAUUUUAAUCAUGGGAUCUUGCCUAGUGGUAAAGCCCCAUUAAAUGUCUGAAAAUCUGAAUCAGAAGGAUCAGCAACUGUUCUUCCCUAGGAAUGGAUCAAAGGUAGGUCCUAUGGAUACGGCUUGUCUGUCCCCACCAAAACUCAUGUUGAAAUUUGAUCACGAAUAUGGUGGUGUUGAGAGGUGGGGUCUAGUGGGAGGUGUUUGGGCCAGGAGCAUGGCCUUAUGAAUAAUGCAGUUUUCCAGGUAGUGAGUUCUUGCUUUCAUGAGACUGCAUUAGUUCUUGUGGGAAUGGAUUAGUUCCCUAAAGUGUGAGUUAUUAUAAAGCAAAGUUCCUGUUCCUGUUUGAUCCUCUCUCUUCUCACUUGUCUGCUUCCCCUUUGACCUACUCUGCCCUGCAAUGUUAUGACACAGAAGAAUGCCCUCACCAGAAGCCAUGGCCAUACUUUUGAACUUCUCACCCUGCAGAACCGUGGACUAGAUACACUUCUUUCCUUUGUAAAUUACCCAGUCUCAUGUAUUCUGUUAUAGCAAGACAAAAUGGACUAAGACAGUAGGGUUGCCAGGGAAAAGACAGGCAUCCAGUUAAAAUUGAAUUUCAGAAAUUAGAUAAACUUUUUUUUUCAGUAUAAGUAUAUCCCAAAUAUUGCAUGGGAGGUACUUAAAGAGUUGUUGUUCAUUUGAAAUUCAAUUUUAACUGGGCAUCCCGUAUUUUUAUAAAUAUGGUAAUUCUAAGGGCACUUCCUUCUCACUAAAGAUACUAGAAUUAGAAUUUGAAUAUGGUAUAGCAUUCCUGAAACCUUGUUCUUUCAACACCAAUUUUUGAAAUGUUAAGUAUUUCCAAACAAAUGAACAAAAAAACAAGCUAAACACUGUUUCAUAGUCAAAGAAGUUAAAAAAACAGUGGAUUAAAAUAAAGUUAAAUAGUUCUCACAGCUUUAGGAUUUCUCCUGGGACUUAAUGCUAACAUGCAUUGUGACAACAAUGAUAGUGUUUUUCCUUGCUUUAUUUGAAAACCAUCACAACAAAGAAACAGCCCAAUAUUCUUCUGUUUCAGUGUGACCAUAGGUUUCCAUUGAAAUGCAGUUUAAAUUUUAAAAAGUCAUUUUGGUGUCUAUUAUGUUAAAGUAAAAUUUUACUAUUACCAAAGUAAAAUUUUACUAUUACCUCAAUCUUGCUUUAAGACUAAAUUUAUAUUUAUAAAGAUGUUUUAAAGCUCUCUAUAAAUGUUUGCAAAGUAAUAGCAUUGUAUUUAAUAAGCUAUUAAAUUGUUCACUUGAUACUGGUUUUGCUAAGCUUAAUAUGAAGAAUCAAUUAAAACUAAAUUAUCAUCUAAGCAGGGACAAUCCUAGAUUAUUCAGAGAGAAAAAUGAGGAUAAAAACAUUAGCUCUGUCUGCUUCUCAAGGUUAUUUUUGGAAAGAAAUGAAGUAAUGUUGUGAAAGGCUGUGCAAAUAUUACUGCAAGGAUACAAAUUACCCUCCCUGUAGAGUGGAUGGGAUUUUCACAAUUUUCUCCCUUUCUGGUCAUAGGUAUUUUAUCUAAUUUGUUGUCCAGUCUGUAAUUCUACCCUGUUGUGUGCAGUGGGAGUGAAAGGGAGGUACAUGAAUUAGGAUUAGAAUUGCUUGUGAAGGACAGAAACCUGCCAAAUAACGGUGCCUUAAACAAGGUGGAAGUUUCCUUUUCUCUCAUGCAAAAGACUGGGAUGUGUAGUCCUGGGCUGAAAUAGAGGCUCUUCUCCAUCAAAUCUCCAAGGCUUCAAACUUCUUUGCCAUUAUUGAGCAAUGUUUCUCAAUCUCAUGGUCCAAGAUGGCGGUAUAUAUAUUCCAGGCAACCAGAGAAGGAAGGAACAAAGAAGUGGCUGAGGCAGUGGGGUGGCUGGCUGUCCUGGAAGCUGGCACAAGAUGCUUUCAGUUACAUGCUUGAAAUGGUUAAUUUUAUGUAUCAAGUUGACUGGGCCACAGGAUGCCCAGAUAUUUGGUCAACCAGUAUUCUGCAUAUGUCUGUGAGAGUAUUUUUGGAUGCGGAUAACGAUUGAAUCGGCAGACUGAAAAAAGCAUAUUUUCCAUCCUAAUGUGGGUGGGCCUCAUCCAAUCUACUAAAGACCUGAAGAGAACAAAAGGUUGACCCUCCUACAAGUAAGAGAGAACUCCUCCUGCCUGACUGCCUUGACCCUGAGACAUGGGCUCUUUUUUGCCUUCAGUCUCAAACUAAAAUAUUGGUCUCUUCCUGGAUCUUGAGCCUGCCAGCCUUUGGAUUGGAACUACACCAUGGCUCUUCUGGGCCUCCUGCUUGCUGGCUGCAGAUUUUGGUACCUGUCAGCCUUCAUAAUCUCAUGAGUCAAUUCCUUAUUGUAUAUUGAUAUCUAUCUAUCUAUCUAUCUAUCUAUCUAUCUAUCUAUCUAUCAUUGAUAACCUCUCUAUCUAUUGGUUCUGUUUCUCUGGACAAUGCUGACUAAUACAAUCCUAUUGUCUGGAACUUAGUAUGCAAGAAAGAGAGUGAGUAUAUGGGGUGAAAUGUAUAGGAGUGGAGCUAAAAGACUUUGCUGCAGGAGAGGAGUUCAAGUCAUUGAGGGCAGUUAUGAGUCAGCAAUAAUGUUGGUGCAGUAUUUUAUUUCAGGAGUCAAUUAAAAGUAUUGUCAUUUUAGCAGUUUAUGUCUUCCAUUUAUCAAAUUGAGUAUAGUGCCUUCCUCUGUCCUACCAGAUGAAAGUUUAUGAAAGAUACUAAUCAUUUCCAAAUUCCUUCAUUUUUACUAUCUAUCCAGAUUAUUUUAAAUACAGUAUCUCUAUAAAUAGCACUUUGUCCAUUGAUAUAUGUUUGUGUUUACAUGAUUGUGUGUGUGUGUGUGUGUGUGUGCACGUGCAAAACAUGGAAAUAGGAUAUUUGGUCUACCUUAAUCCCUGGAAUGGAAGUAAUGGUGAUUACUUUUGUAUAGCAAGUAAUAAACUCCCAAAUGGUUGGCAUUUCCUUUUUCUUAUACUAGACAGAGUCAAAGGUGAAGGAUGAUAAAGAAAAGUUUUGACAAUAGUGCCAAAUUACCUUCCUCAGUUCCUAGAUUGGGGAUUUUCAAUCUAGGGGCAGAUGUCACUAUAAUAUAAGAGGUCUAGUCCUUGAUUUCAGAAGCAGCUAUCCAAGCUCUUAUAAGAACUGAUGAUAGGAACUUGUCUCUCUUCUCAAGUUCUGUACAACAACCACUUAUCCAUAGCUCUUGAUGGUUACUGCUCAGCCAUUUCUUGCCAGCUGUUCUUUCCAUGUGCAGGGAGAGCAUGGGAGUAUGGAGCCUCAGUUUGGUUUGCUAUUGUCAGGACAUCAAACUAAUCAUUAGGUAGAAAGUUGAAUAAACAUUUACUUUUGACUUUUAAAUGGUUACUUCAGAAAGUUUUACUUAGCGGCAAGACCAACUACAUAAUUUGCGGGGCCCAGUGCAGUGUGAAAAUUUGGGGUCCAUUUUUGCAAAAAAUAUUAAGAAUCUCAAGAUAGUGACAGAGCUUUAAGGCCAAUUCAGGCUCCUCCUGCGUGCAGGACUCUGUGUAACUACACAGGUAGCACAGCUAGGAUGCAGACGCUGCUCAAUGUUAUACAUUUAGUACUUUGAUGUCCCUGAAUUCCUUACAAAACUCUUACUUCCUCCCCUCCCCACCCAAGUCCCCAGCUCUUCUGUUUUUUUCCAAAACUUUACUUGUGUACAACACUAUGAAACAUGACAGGGUCUGAUGAGAAAGUAUUAAUUGGCUUUAACCUAGUUUUUUUUCAUUUUUAUUUCUGAAUAUCAGCACUCAUAGCCCUUUUCCCUAUUUUCUGACUUACCCUAAUACAACUCCAUAUCGUACAAAGCUUCAUAGUCCUGUAUAUGCAUGUGGUGAACAUUUGUGUGGCUAUUUGCAGCUGAUGGAUUAGUAUCCAUAAGUUGAGAGGAUUCUUCAAAGGUCCUGAGAUUGAAUAUGAAAAAAUGACCUGUAAGAAUUAAGUCAUCCACAUGUAGCACAGAUGGACGAAUUACCAAGGGAGAUGGCAUAUAUCUGGAUCACAAAAGACUUAUAAGGCAAAUUAAAGGCAUGUAUUCUCAUCAAAGUAACCUCUGAUUGCUUUAUUUCCUGGAAUACUCUAUUAUCGGUGUCAGGGUUCUCCAGAGAAACAAAAUCAAUAGGAUGUAUAUAAAUUUCCUGUAUGGAAUAUGGUUUGGUUAUGUAGGAAGUGCAGAAGGAUGAGUGAGUGGAAUUACAUGUGAGGAAUUGGCUCCCAUGAUUAUGAAAGUGGGCAAGUUCAAAGAUCUGGAGGUGAGUCAGCAAGCUUGGCUAGAGACCCAGUUGGCAGGCUCAAGACUGAGGAGGAGCUGAUGUCCCAGUUUGAAGGUAGCCAGGCAGCAAGAAUUCUCUCUUACUUAGGGGACAGUAGUCUUUUUGUUUUAUUCAGGCCUUCAAAUGAUUGGAUGAGGCCUGCGCACACUGGAAAGGCCAAUCUGUUUUAUUUGGUCUGCCUGUUUAAAUGCCAGUCUCACUCAACAACACUCCCAAGAAACACCCACAAUAAUGUUUGACCGAAUACCUGGAGACCCCAUGGCCCAGUCAAGUUGACACAUGAAAUUAAGGUACCACAGAUAUCCUAUUGUCACAAACUCUGUAUAGCACUUAAAAUUCCUGGUUUCAUGCUUGGUACAGAAAGUUAGCUACUGUUCAUCAUUUGUUUAAUUCUACACGUGGCCAUAACUUAAGAUUAAUUAUAACAAAGUUUAAUUAGAACGAAAGAUGUAAUUAGAUGUAAAUUCUUGCAUCAAGUGGUUGCUUUGUGCUAGGCACAGGUUAGGACUGCAAAGAUGAC